rnacentral:rRNA from 1 species
AGUCGAGGGGUAACAGGGUUUUCGGACCGCUGACGACCGGCGCACGGGUGCGUAACGCGUAUGCAACCUACCUUUAACUGGAGGAUAGCCCCGAGAAAUCGGGAUUAAUACUCCAUAGUAAUGAGAUUCGGCAUCGUUUUUCAUUUAAAGCUCCGGCGGUUAAAGAUGGCAUGCGUGACAUUAGUUAGUUGGUGAGGUAACGGCUCACCAAGACUACGAUGCCUAGGGGUUCUGAGAGGAUGAUCCCCCACACUGGUACUGAGACACGGACCAGACUCCUACGGGAGGCAGCAGUGAGGAAUAUUGGUCAAUGGACGCAAGUCUGAACCAGCCAUGCCGCGUGCAGGAUGACGGCCCUAUGGGUUGUAAACUGCUUUUAUUAAGGAAUAACUCCCCGGUCGAGCAUCGGGGCUGAACGUACUUAAAGAAUAAGCAUCGGCUAACUCCGUGCCAGCAGCCGCGGUAAUACGGAGGAUGCAAGCGUUAUCCGGAUUCAUUGGGUUUAAAGGGUUCGCAGGCGGCGUAUUAAGUCAGUGGUGAAAUCCCUCGGCUCAACCGAGGAACUGCCAUUGAUACUGGUAUGCUAGAGUAUAGUUGGCGUAGGCGGAAUAUUUCAUGUAGCGGUGAAAUGCUUAGAUAUGAAAUAGAACACCGAUCGCGAAGGCAGCUUACGAAGCUAUAACUGACGCUCAGGAACGAAAGCGUGGGGAGCGAACAGGAUUAGAUACCCUGGUAGUCCACGCUGUAAACGAUGAUUACUCGUUGUCGGCGAUACACUGUCGGCGGCUAAGCGAAAGUGAUAAGUAAUCCACCUGGGGAGUACGAUCGCAAGGUUGAAACUCAAAGGAAUUGACGGGGGCCCGCACAAGCGGAGGAGCAUGUGGUUUAAUUCGAUGAUACGCGAGGAACCUUACCUGGGCCUAAAUGUAGAGUGCAUGAGUGGGAAACCAUUCUUUCCUUUCGGGACUCUUUACAAGGUGCUGCAU